GGGCCCGUAGCCUAGUUGGAUAGGGCACCGGACUUCUAAUCCGGAGAUCGCGGGUUCAAAUCCCGCCGGGUCCG
rfam:Candidatus Altiarchaeales archaeon WOR_SM1_SCG NODE_9_length_36987_cov_292.748_ID_7, whole genome shotgun sequence.